rnacentral:rRNA from 1 species
GGGUCAGUAGGUUGGUCGUGCCACCGGUACGUACUGGUCUCACUGAUUCCUCCUUCCUGAAGAACCGUAAUGCCAUUAAUUUGGUGUUGCGGGGAAACAGGACUGUUACUUUGAAAAAAUUAGAGUGUUUAAAGCAAGCUAACGCUUGAACACAUUAGCAUGGAAUAAUGAAAUAGGACGAUCGAUCCUAUUUUGUUGGUCUCUAGGAUUGACGUA